rnacentral:rRNA from 1 species
AGGAUGGGACUCGCGUCCAAUUAGCAAGUUGGUGAGGUAACGGCCCACCAAGGCGACGAUUGGUAGCCGGACUGAGAGGUUGAACGGCCACAUUGGGACUGAGACACGGCCCAGAACUCCUACGGGAGGCAGCAGUGGGGGAUAUUGCACAAUGGGGGAAACCCUGAUGCAGCGACGCCGCGUGGAGGAAGAAGGUUUUCGGAUUGUAAACUCCUGUCGUUAGGGACGAUAAUGACGGUACCUAACAAGAAAGCACCGGCUAACUACGUGCCAGCAGCCGCGGUAAAACGUAGGGUGCAAGCGUUGUCCGGAAUUACUGGGUGUAAAGGGAGCGCAGGCGGGAAGACAAGUUGGAAGUGAAAACCAUGGGCUCAACCCAUGAAUUGCUUUCAAAACUGUUUUUCUUGAGUAGUGCAGAGGUAGAUGGAAUUCCCGGUGUAGCGGUGGAAUGCGUAGAUAUCGGGAGGAACACCAGUGGCGAAGGCGGUCUACUGGGCACCAACUGACGCUGAGGCUCGAAAGCAUGGGUAGCAAACAAGGGUACAUCCCCUGGUAGUCCAUCCCGUAAACGAUGAUUACUAGGUGUGGGGGGAUUGACCCCCUCAGUGCCGCAGUUAACACAAUAAGUAAUCCACCUGGGGAGUACGACCGCAAGGGUGAAACUCAAAGGAAUUGACGGGGGCCCGCACAAGCAGUGGAGUAUGUGGUUUAAUUCGAAGCAACGCGAAGAACCUUACCAGGUCUUGACAUCCGAUGCAUAGCACAGAGAUGUGUGAAAUCCUUCGGGACAUCGAGACAGGUGGUGCAUGGUUGUCGUCAACUCGUGUCGUGAGAUGUUGGGUUAAGUCCCGCAACGAGCGCAACCCUUAUUGCCAGUUACUACGUUAAGAGGACUCUGGCGAGACUGCCGUUGACAAAACGGAGGAAGGUGGGGAUGACGUCAAAUCAUCAUGCCCUUUAUGACCUGGGCUACACACGUACUACAAUGGCGUUAAACAAAGAGAAGCAAGACCGCGAGGUUGAGCAAAACUCAAAAACAACGUCUCAGUUCAGAUUGCAGGCUGCAACUCGCCUGCAUGAAGUCGGAAUCGCUAGUAAUCGCGAAUCAGAAUGUCGCGGUGAAUACGUUCCCGGGUCUUGCACU